rnacentral:rRNA from 1 species
UUGACGGGACCCGCACAAGCAGCGGAGCAUGUGGUUUAAUUCGAAGCAACGCGAAGAACCUUACCAGAUCUUGACAUCCAAUUGACCAUCUUUUAAUCGAGAUUUUGCCUUCGGGUACAAUUGAGACAGGUGGUGCAUGGUUGUCGUCAGCUCGUGUCGUGAGAUGUUGGGUUAAGUCCCGCAACGAGCGCAACCCUUGUGUUUAGUUGCAAACAGGUCAAGCUGUGCACUCUAGACAGACUGCCGUGGACAACACGGAGGAAGUGGGGAUGACGUCAAAUCAUCAUGCCCCUUAUGAUCUGGGCUACACACAUGCUACAAUGGCCGGUACAACGGGCAGCGAAGGAGCGAUCCGGAGCGAAUCCUAAAAAGCCGGUCCCAGUUCGGAUUGCAGGCUGAAACUCGCCUACAUGAAGUUGGAGUUGCUAGUAAUCGCGAAUCAGAAUGUCGCGGUGAAUGCGUUCCCGGGUCUU